rnacentral:rRNA from 1 species
AUUGAACGCUGGCGGCAGGCCUAACACAUGCAAGUCGAGCGGAUGACGGGAGCUUGCUCCUUGAUUCAGCGGCGGACGGGUGAGUAAUGCCUAGGCAUCUGCCUGGUAGUGGGGGACAACGUUUCGAAAGGAACGCUACUACCGCAUACGUCCUACGGGAGAAAGCAGGGGACCUUCGGGCCUUGCGCUAUCAGAUGAGCCUAGGUCGGAUUAGCUAGUUGGUGGGGUAAUGGCUCACCAAGGCGACGAUCCGUAACUGGUCUGAGAGGAUGAUCAGUCACACUGGAACUGAGACAAGGUCCAGACUCCUACGGGAGGCAGCAGUGGGGAAUAUUGGACAAUGGGCGAAAGCCUGAUCCAGCCAUGCCGCGUGUGUGAAGAAGGUCUUCGGAUUGUAAAGCACUUUAAGUUGGGAGGAAGGGCAGUAAGUUAAUACCUUGCUGUUUUGACGUUACCGACAGAAUAAGCACCGGCUAACUCUGUGCCAGCCGCCGCGGUAA